rnacentral:rRNA from 1 species
UACGUAGGGACCGAGCGUUGUCCGGAAUCAUUGGGCGUAAAGAGCGUGUAGGCGGCCACUUAAGUCCUGCGUGAAAUCUUGCGGCUCAACCGCAAGCGGUCGUGGGAAACUGGGUGGCUAGAGUGCGGGAGAGGAGAGUGGAAUUCCUGGUGUAGCGGUGGAAUGCGCAGAUAUCAGGAAGAACACCCGUGGCGAAGGCGGCUCUCUGGGCCGUAACUGACGCUGAGGAGCGAAAGCAUGGGGAGCGAACAGG